rnacentral:rRNA from 1 species
AUGAGGAAGGCCGUGCUGAUGUUGGUUCUGGCGUUGGUGCAAUGCCUCGCGCUGGGCUGCAGCACGGCAGCGGCGGCCAGGGCGCGGCAGGGCGACUACCUGCGCCGGCUGCGCUGGUCGUCGUCGCUGGCGGCCGUGGAGGAGCCGACCAGGGCGACGGCCAGCAGAAGACCCAGGUCGGUGCCGGCGGCGGAGGUCGGGCGCAAGGAGGCCGACCGCGUGGAUGCGCUGCCCGGGCAGCCGCGCGGCGUGGACUUCGCGCAGUACGCCGGGUACGUGACGGUGGACGCGGCGGCCGGGCGCGCGCUGUUCUACUACCUCGCCGAGGCCGUCGGCUGCAACGGCAACGGCGACGGGUCGUCGUCCAAGGGCAAGCCCCUCCUCCUGUGGCUCAACGGCGGCCCCGGGUGCUCGUCGCUGGGGUACGGCGCCAUGGAGGAGCUCGGCCCCUUCCGCGUCAUGAGCGACGGCAAGACGCUCUACCGCAACCCCUACUCCUGGAACCACGCCGCGAACGUUCUGUUCUUGGAGAGCCCGGCUGGGGUGGGGUACUCGUACUCGAACACGACGGCGGACUACGACCGGAGCGGGGACAACCGGACGGCGGAGGACGCGUACGCUUUCCUGGCCAGCUGGAUGGAGCGCUUCCCGGAGUACAAGGGCCGCGACUUCUACAUCGCCGGCGAGAGCUACGCCGGCCACUUCGCGCCGCAGCUCGCCCACGCCGUCCUCCGCCACGCCUCCCCGGCCAUCAACCUCAAAGGGGUCAUGAUUGGGAACGCGGUGAUCAACGAGGGGACGGACAAGAAGGGCACGUUCGACUUCUACUGGACGCACGCGCUCAUCUCCGACGAGACGGCCGCCGGCGUCAACCAGAACUGCAACUUCACCAAUGGCGCCCAGUCGAAUGAUCUCUGCGACCAAGCCAACGACGACGUCGUCGAGAACCUCCGGGACAUCGACAACUACAACAUCUACGCGCCAAACUGCCAGACGGAAGGGCUCGUCACCCCGCCCAUCACCCCCUCGAUCGAGAGCUUUGAUACGUGCACAAGUAAUUAUGUGGAGGCCUACCUCAACAAGCCAGAUGUUCAAAAGGCGUUCCACGCAAACGUCACCCGCCUCGACCACCCCUGGUUAGCUUGCAGCGAGGUCUUGACACGCUGGAUCGACAGCACCACAACUGUUUUGCCUAUUAUCAGGGAGCUGAUGAAAAACAACAUCAGAGUCUGGGUAUACAGCGGAGACACCGACGGGAACGUGCCGGUCACCGCCACCAGGUACUCCAUCAACCAGCUCCAGCUCCCCGUGGCCGCGAAAUGGAGGCGGUGGUUUAGCAGCACCAAGGGUGCCGGAGAGGUGGGCGGAUACGUGGUGCAGUACAAGGGCGGCCUCAGCUUGGUGACGGUGAGAGGAGCUGGCCACGAGGUCCCCAGCUACCAGCCGCAGCGAGCGCUCCAGCUUCUCCAGGCCUUCCUCGCCGGCACAACGCUGCCUGACUGCAAAAAAUGCUAG